rnacentral:rRNA from 1 species
AGCCUACGGGACGCAGCAGUGAGGAAUAUUGGUCAAUGGCCGAGAGGCUGAACCAGCCAAGUCGCGUGAGGGAAGACGGCCCUACGGGUUGUAAACCUCUUUUGUCGGGGAGCAACGCGAACCACGUGUGGUUCAUUGAGAGUACCCGGAGAAAAAGCAUCGGCUAACUCCGUGCCAGCAGCCGCGGUAAUACGGAGGAUGCGAGCGUUAUCCGGAUUUAUUGGGUGUAAAGGGCGUGUAGGCGGGAUUGCAAGUCAGAUGUGAAAACUAUGGGCUCAACCCAUAGCCUGCAUUUGAAACUGUAU